UUUUUCUUUUUAAGGCCAAACCUGUGGCAUAUGGAAGUUUCCAGGCUAGGGGUUGAAUCAGAGCUGUAGCUGACAGCCUAUGAUACAGCCACAGCCACAGCAACACCAGAUCCAAGCCAGGUCUGCAACCUAUAGCAAAGCUCACAGCAAUGCCGUAUCUUUAACCCACUGAGUGGGGCCAGGAAUCAAACCCAUGUCCUCCUAGAUACUAGGUUGGGUUUGUUAAGGCUGAGCCACAAUGGGAACUCCAAUUCUUCCUAAUUCUUGAUCAAAGGCUUAUAUUUAUUCACUAUCCCAUUUUCUUGAGGCUUUUCAACUAUUUUCUAAGAAUACCAGAAAUACUCAGGAAAAAAAAGUGAAUUAAAGAUAUCAACAUGCUCUUCAAUUCUUAGGAAGAUUCUUUUUGUUUCAUGAAUACCCAAUCUGAUUCAAGGUGAUCUAAUUAAAUUCUGGAAUUAAAAAUCUGAAAAUUAAUUCUUUUAGAAUUUACUGAAGAUGCUUUUGCCUUGAUUUUUUUUUCAGUAAGUAAAAUCUUUUCAACAAAACAGGUAAAAAUUUCCUAAGAAAAUGCCAUAUUUGGUGUAAAAGAAUCCAGGUAGGUUGCCAAUGGACAGAACCACUUCUGCUAGCAUGCAAGAAAAACUGUACUUCAUAUGCGACAGGAAAGAUCUGUGAAAUAAACUGAGGGUCGAGUUGAAGUUAAAACUGUAAAUAAAGGAGAUAUAUUAUUUAAAGAUUUAAAGAAAUGAAAUCACUAUGGAUGUUGGCUUUUACACAAGGAUUGCCAUUGCAGGUUUAAUUGCAACAGUAAACACUUAGUACAGAGUAAAUAUUCACCAUUCAAAGAAUGGUAAACUACCUUACACAAUACCCACAACUUGGAGUAAUAUGAAAUCAUUAAUAAUGAUAUUUUCAAAGAAUGUGUUAUGAAGGAAAAUCUUAAGUAGGAAAAAGCUAUUUGUGAUUUUUUAUUCUUUCAUUAUAUUUUCUAUUUUCCAAAUUUUUAAACAAAUUAGAUUUUAAAAAAUUAAUGUCCUCUGGUCCUCAAAAAUUUUUUUAAUAAUUUUACAUAGAAGUAAUUACACAUACAGGAGCCUACCAGGUAAAAUUGGUUUCCUUGGCUAGGCAAAUUUCUUAAAAAGCCUUUUUAAAAUAGUCCCCAAAUACAUCAGCUGUAAGAAAAAAGACAAAAUGUUGAGGUAUGAGCUUGUCAGGGCAUAGUAGACACUUGAAAAUAGCUUAGUAUUUAUGGGUCUGACUGGAUGUUUAUUUUAUAUCAGGACUCUACUAUAUCUUCAAGCACAAACAGCUUGGUGUACUUGAUAACAUCAAAGUUAAAAAUUUACAACUAUGUAUGUCUUCUAAAAUGUCAUCUAUACAUUUCAAUUCAACUAAUAUUUACUAAAUACUUUCUCACAGAAGUUUUCCGAGUUCCACCUUACAAGCCCAUAUUUACAUCAUGGAUUAACUGAAGCUCAGCAUUUCAAAAUAUUUUGCCUGAGACAGCACAGUUAGAAAAGCAAAACAAUGAAUGGCUCAAACCUAGAUCUUAAAGUUUCAAGUCCAAGACUUUCUCCAAUACUCAGUCGAAUUUUCUUUCCUCAUCUUUCUUCUCUUCUUCCCUUUUACUUCUCAUUUAGCCAAACUCUGUCAAUUCUUCAAAUCUUGCCUCCUCUACAAUGCUUUUCAUAGCUGUGCCCAUUUCGUGGUGAUGGAUCUCGAAAUUCUGUCAAGUUCCCUCUAGUUGACAAUGGAUUCGAAGCUCUCAGGGCUCCCUCUCAAGGAGGCCUCGCUCAAGAUAAUUUUUUCUCCCUCUCCCUUCCCUCAGCUUUUAUUCUCUGCAAAGCUGGUGGUUCAGUGGAAAGAGCCCUGUGCAGUUAUGAAGACAAGAAAGUGUAAAGCAAAGCUCACCAAGAGUAGGAAGCUCAUUUGGCAAGAAAUGUGUGAAGACAGAAAACAAGCAAUGAAGAGCUACCAAAGACAGAAUGAGGCCACGAGCAGAGGAGAAUGUCCUCUUAGCACGAAGUGGACAGAGAUUGAGAAAUGAACCCUUUAGAAAAAAGUCACAGGUCCUGAAGUGCUACUGCUUCAAUCGAGAUCAUUCAGAAAACAUUCACUGCUCAUCAAUCUCUGGUGGAAAAGACAUGCUAAUCUUAUAAAAAGUUUCUUGGACCAAUAGUCAUAGUAAAAUAAUAAAACUUAUUGAGUUUUCACUGUGUUGGGACAUUUGUUAAAGGUUUUACAUGCAUUAUUUCUUUCAAUCCUGACAUUGGGUGAUUUUACCAUUGAGAAAAAUAAGACUUCGAGGGGUUAACAAAACUUGCUCAAGGACACAGCUAAUAAAUAUUAGAACUUAGCCAGAUCAGGUCUAUAUGCCCUCUUAAGUGUUCAUAAGUCUGCAUAUUUUAUUGCAGAGAUAGCUGAUUGAAAAAUGAUAAUUGUGUGGGUAUGAUGUGAGGUGAUUUACCUCCAAGAGCUUGUCCAACCAACCUCCUGUGUGCUCUAAUUCAGACAGCUUGUUCUCAAACCAAGGUAGAGGGAAGAAAGACAGUUCUCCUGCCAGGCCACUGGUUGAGUGAGAAGCUAACAUGCAAUGUUCUUAAACACUGUGAUAAUGAGAUACAGGUUCCUAAAGAGGGCUUAGUUACUGUCCCCAUUCAUGGGAGUUGAUGCUAGUAUUGAUGGCAAUUGUGAGAAAAGCAGUUUUCCUUUGAAGUGUACUUAGUAUUUUUUAUUUAGAUUUGCAAGGGUUAGAUACCAGGACACCAGCAACUGCAAAUGUAGCCCUCUUUGCUCAUUCGGAUGUGACCAGCAGGCUUCUGUCAUUUGCCACAUGAGGGAUGGCUUUUAAACACAGCAGAACUUGGCCCAUGGGCUAAGCCUCUAUUGGCAGCUUCCCAGGGAGGCUGUCUCUGUGUUUAAUAUUGGUUCUACCCCUUCCUGGAGUGAAGAUAGCUAUCUAAAAAAUAAAGGCACGGGAAGAAAGGUACAGCAGGAGCAUUACAAAUACCUCAGGGAUCUGGGCACGGAUGAUAUUUCACAAAGCCUGCUGAGGGGAUUUGGACCCUAGUCAAACAUUUAAAGCAGCUUCUGUCCAUGCUUUAUUUUGAAAACAGUUCCAAAUAGGAUGGCAAUAUUUUACAUGUAACCCCAAAAGUGUCUGAAGAAACCAAUGUUUCAAAUUUUCUCACUGGCAGAGGUCUUUAAAUAAUCAAGAAAAAUCUGGGACUGAGUUAAUGUGAUAGAUGAUACAAAAUUGGUUAGCACAAUCAAUAAGUGUGUAUUAUAUUUCUAUCAUGUUUGUUAUCUGCCAAACCUGCCUUGACAAAGAGAAUGAGGCCAUGGUUCCAAAUAUGGAGGCUUGUGGACAAGAGCUGGGACUAAGCUUCAGAAAAGGACCUAAUUAUUGAAAGAAUGUUGCAGAGGCUGGUUUAGUCCGGGGGAUGCCACUAGGCUGGUGUUUUCCAAACUAUUCUGCAGAGCAGUGUUCACAUGAGAUCCUUAGACCAAAUGAGUGUCCUAGGGUUAUAUGAAUUUAGAAAACGCUAUUUACACUAUGCCACCUUCCUUAGAGAUUUACAAUGCAUAUUAAGUUUAUUAAGUACUAUGACAAUUCUAGAAAGCUGCUAGAUUUUGCCCUAAUUCAAUAUUUAUCAUUGGAUCAUGGGUGUCUUUUUCAUACACUAC
ensembl:lncRNA